AGCAAAAAUUGGGCCAGGCAACCGAAAUUUUUGAAUAUAUUCGAAGAAUUAGGUUAGUCAGGCAGGCUCCGUUUUUCAUUUACUUUUGCGGAUUACGUUUUCAACCCAAACGUUUUGUUUUCGAUGUAAGGUUCUCCAGUUUUCACAUAUUUUUGCUGUUUGCACCAAAACGAAAAUUGUUGUCCUGGCCAAUGUUUUCCGAGCCAAAUUUGAGGUUGGGUUAAAAAAAAAUGUUUUAGUUUUGAAAACGAAUAAAUCUUGCGAAAUUUGAAAACGGGAGCCAGAAUUUAUGUGUAUUCUAAAGUAAAUCGGAAAACUUUAUGAAAAAGGGAGCCUGGCUGAGUGACUUGAAACAAGAAGUCUAUAAGAUUUAUGCGGAAAAUGGAUGUGUAUAACGCCCAGAAAGAAGCUUUUUCGACGCCAUAACACAGAGAACGUUAUAGUUCUUUUAUCUUGGACGUUGACAUGCAAUGACAGCAUCUUUCAAGAGGCGAUGCAGUUACUGCACCAUCAAGUGGAAGCGAAGCGUUAACCGAACCGAACGCGAACAUGCAGGAAAGAUAGCUGUUUGACUAAUGUUCGAGGAAAAUUAGCACUAAAAUUACU